CGCCCGCCGCGSGCGGSGGGCGGGGSGGGGGCACGGGGGGGUGAAGAAGUAUUUCGGUAUGUAAAGCUCUAUCAGCAGGGAAGAWAAUGACGGUACCUGACUAAGAAGCCCCGGCUAACUACGUGCCAGCAGCCGCGGUAAUACGUAGGGGGCAAGSGUUAUCCGGAUUUAYUGGGUGUAAAGGGAGCGUARACGGAAUGGCAAGUCKGGKGUGAAAGGCCGGGGCUCAMCCCCGGGACCGCAUUGGAAACUGUCAGGCUAGAGUGCAGGAGGGGUAAGCGGAAUUCCUAGUGUAGCGGUGAAAUGCGUAGAUAUUAGGAGGAACACCAGUGGCGAAGGSGGCUUACUGGACGAUCACUGACGUUGAGGCUCGAAAGCGUGGGGAGCAAACAGGAUUAGAUACCCUGGUAGUCCACGCCCUAAACGAUGAAUACUAGGUGUUGGA
rnacentral:rRNA from 1 species